GUCAUCUUGUCGCUUCUCCCCAGCUGAUGCCCAGUUCAAUCUAAAAUUUUGUGCCCCAUUGGGCAUCGCAGUGCCAUUAUAAGUUUGAAGUAUUCUUUCUGCAGCUGGACGCGUUAAAAACUCUAUAAAGCCGUAACCCUCGGACUGGCCGGUUUGCUUGUUCCGGAUGACUUUCACAGAGGAAACCUCGCCGGUAUGAGCAAAGCAAUUAAAAAUAUAGUUUUCGUCCAUCCAGUACUGCAAGUCU
rnacentral:misc_RNA from 1 species